CGUAGGCAGCGAGCGUUGUUCGGAGUUACUGGGCGUAAAGGGUGUGUAGGCGGUUGUUUAAGUUUGGUGUGAAAUCUCCCGGCUCAACUGGGAGGGUGCGCCGAAUACUGAAUGACUUGGAGUGCGGGAGAGGUGAGUGGAAUUCCUGGUGUAGCGGUGAAAUGCGUAGAUAUCAGGAGGAACACCGGUGGUGUAGACGGCUCACUGGACCGUAACUGACGCUGAGGCACGAAAGCGUGGGUAGCAAACGGGAUUAGAUACCCUGGUAGUCCACGCCCUAAACGAUGCAUAUUUGGUGUGGGCAGUUCAUUCUGUCCGUGCCGGAGCUAACGCGUUAAAUAUGCCGCCUGGGGAGUACAGUCGCAAGGCUG
rnacentral:rRNA from 1 species